rnacentral:miRNA from 1 species
GGUUUGUGCAAAUGUAAUUGUGGUUUUUGCCAUUAAAAGUAAUGGCAAAAUGAAAAGUAAUGGCAAAAACUGCAAUUACUUUUGUACCAACCUAACA